UUAGCGGCGCUUUUAAGCGCCACUAAAAGUAGCAAAAAACGCCGCU
rfam:Gossypium raimondii chromosome 13, whole genome shotgun sequence.